UGAGGAGAAUGGAAACUGGUUCGAGAACGUUUGUAUGGAUGAACAUAAAAAGAGUCUUUCAUCCGAACGAUCUCGGACCAGGCUUCAUUCUCGCCAGCU